AAUAUUUUUAUGUCACUUAUGCACUUAUCAAAUUUCUUUGAGCAUGUGAAAAUGUUUCUUUAAAAACUAGGUGUAUUUUAUUGAAUGAAACACCAUGUCAUCCUAGAGUGACAAGUUCAAAAUUACAAUAGAAAACUUAGUAGACUUAUGAAAGACUAAUCAGAUGUAUGAUGAAUACCAAUGAAAUUACUGUGUACUUUGGACAAGUUCACUCAUAAGGACUAAGUUUUCUUUUGUCUGUAGAUCAAAAAUUGAAAGUUGAACAAGUAUGAUAUUCAGUAUGUAUGUGUUUCUGAACACGUUAAUUGAUAAGUGCAUAGUAUGUGUGUAAUUAUAUGACAUAUAUGUGUGUCAUGCCUAGCUAUGUUACAAGGUGAUGGUAAUCACUAAUGUGGCCAUGAAUCAGAUCACAUUAUGUAUUAUUGCUUUGCUUGGUUAACAGAAAUAUGUAUACUAUCUUGCUAGAAUAUUAUUUCAUAUUUAUGUUUUUUGUUUUACCAAAAAAUAUCGAGCUCAAUUUUAUUUGUGUACUGCAUGUUUUUGUGUUAUAUAUCUGUUGUUGUCUGAAAAGAUAGGGAUGUUACUGAUAUUAUCUGAAUUCAGGGAUAUGCAGUCAGCUAUUCUCUUUUUUUUUUUUUUAAAUUUUGUAAUGUAAAUUAAAUAUAUCAUGAUUGGUUAAUUGAUUGUUUUUCUGUAGCUCAACUCACAAUAUUUAAUUGUUAUGUGUUAAUACAGUUAAACCUGUCCAUGUAAGUGGUUGUCUUAGUAUAAAGGUCUCCUUCCGGUUGUCUUAGUUAUAAACGUCUCCUUCAGGUUGUCUUAGUUAUAAACGUCUCCUUCCGGUUGUCUUAGUUAUAAACGUCUCCUUCAGGUUGUCUUAGUUAUAAACAUCUCCUUCCGGUUGUCUUAGUUAUAAACGUCUCCUUCCGGUUGUCUUAGUUAUAAACGUCUCCUUCCGGUUGUCUUAGUUAUAAACGUCUCCUUCCGGUUGUCUUAGUUAUAAACGUCUCCUUCGGAUUGUCUUAGUUAUAAACGUCUCCUUCCGGUUGUCUUAGUUAUAAACGUCUCCUUCCGGUUGUCUUAGUUAUAAACAUC